rnacentral:rRNA from 1 species
CACGUAGGGCGCAAGCGUUGUCCGGAAUUAUUGGGCGUAAAGAGCUCGUAGGCGGUCUGUUGCGUCCGCUGUGAAAACUCGAGCUCAACCUCGAGACGCCGGUGGAAACCAUCAGACUAGAGUCCGGAAGAGGAGAGUGGAAUUCCUGGUGUAGCGGUGAAAUGCGCAGAUAUCAGGAAGAACACCCGUGGCUAAGGCGGCUCUCUAGUACGGUACUGACGCUGAGACGCGAAAGCGUGGGGAGCGAACAGG